AGCGAACGCUGGCGGCAGGCCUAACACAUGCAAGUCGAACGAACCUUUCGGGGUUAGUGGCGGACGGGUGAGUAACACGUGGGAACGUGCCUUUAGGUUCGGAAUAACUCAGGGAAACUUGUGCUAAUACCGAAUGUGCCCUUCGGGGGAAAGAUUUAUCGCCUUUAGGGCGGCCCGCGUCUGAUUAGCUAGUUGGUUGAGGGAAUGGCUCACCAAGGCGACGAUCAGUAGCUGGUCUGAGAGGAUGAUAAGCCACAUUGGGACUGAGACACGGCCCAAACUCCUACGGGAGGCAGCAGAGGGGAAUCUUGCGCAAGGGGCGAAAGCCUGACGCAGCCAUGCCGCGUGAAUGAUGAAGGUCUUAGGAUUGUAAAAUUCUUUCGCCGGGGACGAUAAUGACGGUACCCGGAGAAGAAGCCCCGGCUAACUUCGUG
rnacentral:rRNA from 1 species